rnacentral:rRNA from 1 species
UACGGGGGGAGCAAGCGUUGUUCGGAUUACUGGCGUAAAGGGCGCGUAGGCGGUCAGCACAAGUCAGUUGUGAAAUCUCCGGGCUUAACUCGGAAAGGUCAACUGAUACUGUGCGACUAGAGUGCGGAAGGGGCAACUGGGAAUUCUCGGUGUAGCGGUGAAAUGCGUAGAUAUCGAGAGGAACACCUGCGGCGAAGGCGGGUUGCUGGGCCGACACUGACGCUGAUGCGCGAAAGCCAGGGGAGCGAACGGG